AUAACUUUGUCAAAGUUAAAUUAUAGGUGAAAAUCCUUUAUGCCUCU
rnacentral:tRNA from 1 species